UGGGGAAUUUUCCGCAAUGGGCGAAAGCCUGACGGAGCAACGCCGCGUGAGGGAUGAAGGCCUCUGGGCUGUAAACCUCUUUUAUCAAGGAAGAAGAUCUGACGGUACUUGAUGAAUAAGCCACGGCUAAUUCCGUGCCAGCAGCCGCGGUAAUACGGGAGUGGCAAGCGUUAUCCGGAAUUAUUGGGCGUAAAGCGUCCGCAGGCGGCCCUUCAAGUCUGCUGUUAAAAAGUGGAGCCUAACUCCAUCAUGGCAGUGGAAACUGAGGGGCUUGAGUGUGGUAGGGGCAGAGGGAAUUCCCGGUGUAGCGGUGAAAUGCGUAGAUAUCGGGAAGAACACCAGUGGCGAAGGCGCUCUGCUGGGCCAUCACUGACGCUCAUGGACGAAAGCCAGGGGAGCGAAAGGGAUUAGAUACCCCUGUAGUC
rnacentral:rRNA from 1 species